rnacentral:rRNA from 4 species
UAGAUCUCAAAUCAGGUAG